UACGGGAGGCAGCAGUGGGGAAUAUUGGGAAUGGGGGGAACCCUGAUGCAGCAACGCCGCGUGAGGGAAGAAGGUUUUCGGAUUGUAAAGCUCUAUCCCAAGGGAAGAGAUUGAGAGUGCCUGAUGGGAGGAAGCCGGCUAACUCUACGUGCCCAGCCGCGGGAAUAU
rnacentral:rRNA from 1 species